rfam:Sporanaerobacter acetigenes DSM 13106 genome assembly, contig: EJ96DRAFT_scaffold00006.6
AUAGGUUUGGCUUAGAGUGGCACAGUAUUCUAGUCAGCGCAACUAUUUCUGAAGGCGGGGCUAAAAAUCCGUCAAAGGGCAUAUCGAUGAAGUUCCUGGUUUUGGCUUUCGACGCCCAGUUGGGGGCUAUUUCUGGGAGUAAGAAGGAUGGGGCGAUCCACAAUGGCAUGUGGGCGUUGACCCUACCUUCGUGGAGACUUGUCAUUUUGGCAAUAUGACAAGAUAAACCUGCUAUGUAACUAAUUAUUACAUGCAGAGUAGCCUGCCUUGAGUGAAAUAGGCAGAUGACAAGUUCGGUUUUAUUUUCGGAAGGGCCCGAAGAAAAUAAAAUUUUGUUGUCGAAACCUAUUUUGCAAAAGAGGCUAAGGAAUAGAAUGGCUGUUGAGGAAAACUCCUAGACUGUUCUACCAAGGGAGAUGUGUUAAGGAUUACAGUGCGGACUAAGUGGUAAUCUAGUUUUACUUUUGGCGACAGAGUAGAGACAGUAUUAAAGGGAAACCGCUGAUAUGGCGACAUUCAGUUGCUGUCUGGGAAAUCCUGCUAGACCUUAAGCCGUAAGAUUUACUUAACAUAUCGCCACUCGUGUGGGCUGAUAG